CUGUUAGAUUGUUUGUGUUCCUUGCUUGUUGUCGUCGUCGUCGUCCCACAUCUUGGCAAAGCCGGGUCCAUGGCUGCUGGAUAACUGUGAUGAGCUCCUGAACGAUGAUGGUGGCAGGUUGGAUACUAGCGGACUGUGACACACCUCUGAGAAUCACAGGACACAGAGAACACAUAAUUUAAAACAAUAGCUGUGUAGUGUUCUUGCCAUCUGACAAAACACAUCCAUUUAACAUAAUGGCCAGCGGUGGAGUGGAUCAGUGAUGUCAGACUCAGCAGCAUCUUUGAACUUUCCCAGUGGCUCCAAGAUUCUGCUCUGAAAGAUCCACAUCAGCAUCUGUGCACUUCAUCUCCAAACGAAAGCACCUGUUUCUGGCAGCUGAUAAAGGGGAACAACUUAAAGAGAAUGCAUAAUUAUAAAAAUCUACUAAUGUCUCCUUGAUACUUGAAAGGACUUCCACAAUUGUCUACAGUCAGCUGUAUACAAAUGAAUCUUUUGAAGUUGGAUUGCUGAUUUAAAACGAUACAUGAUCGGUUCCUGUUCCUAUGACAAUUGAUGUUUUGCAGUAUAUUUUUAGUUUUGCACCCCACCCCUUCCUGAAUGAAAGUGCCAUCUAGUCUAUCUUUUCAAUUAACAACUGAGAGAGGUGAAGCUGAUAGCUGCAUUUUUCAUCCCUUUUCAAUGUAUAUGAAAAAGACACUUAUAGUCUGGACUUGAAGGUGCAAACAGAUCUUCCCUCUGUGAAACACCGAAAAUUAAAACCUUAUACAUGUUUAGGCAUACCAGGGUGUUUGUGCCAUUGCCUACAUUAUGUAACACUGUAAAA